rnacentral:rRNA from 1 species
CACGUAGGGUGCGAGCGUUGUCCGGAAUUAUUGGGCGUAAAGAGCUCGUAGGCGGUGUGUCGCGUCGGCCGUGAAAACCUGCAGCUUAACUGUGGGCUUGCGGUCGAUACGGGCAUCACUGGAGUUCGGCAGGGGAGACUGGAAUUCCUGGUGUAGCGGUGAAAUGCGCAGAUAUCAGGAGGAACACCGGUGGCGAAGGCGGGUCUCUGGGCAGUAACUGACGCUGAGGAGCGAAAGCCAGGGGAGCAAACGGG